GUACAGACAUUGAGUGGCAAAGGGAGAUGCUGCAUCACAUUCUUCCUAACAGAGCCUAUGAGAAUCAAAAUUGAUCUUCUGUGCCAAAGCUUGGAAGAGCCUUGAAUGGAACAUGCAUAUUACUUUGUGAUCAAGACUGAUAUUCAACAGUGGAGUAAAGCAGAAGCACAGUCAAAG